UUCGGGCCCAACGAAUUCCCUGCGGAGAGGGAAAAGUACCACGUUGCUUCUCGGGCCGUCAAGGAUCCCCAAACUUCCUGAAGUCUGAUACCCUUGGGAGGCCUCGCCCAGGGCCUGGGAAUCCCCAAGCAGUCCCAGGAGAGAGCGAAAUCCAGAGGCCGGGAGCAGGCAGGCGCUGUGGAUAGCUCAUUUGGACUUCGUGCAUCCGCCGCGGCGCAAGGAAUGAACCCGGGAUAAACUAUGUUCUAGUCCCAGAACUUAGCAGAAUCCGAGAGCCAGCAGCGGGGCUUAAGGCUUGCAUCUGCUGGUCCAAUUAUGAGCGCCAGGACAAAGCUAUGAAGACGGAGAAAGUAUCAGGCAUGGGUGCCCAACUUUGUCUUCUCUCUCUUCAAGAGAAGUGGGACCCGAGAAUCCCCGCCACAGCCGGCGCGGAUUGAUUUUCCCCUUCUAGGAUGGGGGACGACUGCGCAGAGCUCAAGCGCCUGGGGAGGAAGCAGUAAGUAGCGGCAGCCGGCGGUCCCGGGCCCCAGACGCUCGGCGGAGAGUCCGGCUGGAGCGCGGAGACCUGGCGCGGCUGCCUCUGUCUGCACCGCUCAGGGUCAGGGGAGGUUCCACCCGGUAAA
rnacentral:lncRNA from 1 species